ACUAUCAGAACUUGUUUAUGUUGUGUUCAGCUAUCAAUUCAUUGUUGUGGUCAUGUUUUUCUCCAAAUACUUUUGCUACAAUUUGACCGAAAAAAUUUGACCUCGAUUCUUCGAUUUUGAAAUUUCCCGCCCUGUACUGGUUCCCGGCUAUUAAACCAACACUGAAAUCCAAGCGGAUUUGUAAACCAGCGGACGUCAUGAACGCGGUCAAAAAAUGGUGACGUAUUACCCAUGAAGCAACGAGAGUAAACAAAGAUUACGCCAUGUUACUCCAUGUGUUGUGUAUGCGUUUUCAUCCACACUACAGGCGUGCGUGUGUGCUACGAAGCUUUUUGUUUCUAGUGUAUCAGCUAUAAAUACUGCCGACUAUUUGGUUGUUUGGGGAUGCACUUGUAGUUUCAAAGUUUGUGUAAGAAGCCUGGAUCGAUUCCGAAAUUUAAACCUCUAAACAUCGAGAGAAUUCAGGGGGAUCUUCUACCACCAGGCCCCAGCCAGUGCUGCUUGUGCAUGCUACGAGUACGACGUCGGCGGGGUCCCUCUGCCGUGGCCCUGGUCGCAAGUGGCCGUGGAACAGCAAAAGAAUCAAGUGGCAUUACAGAAAAGAGAGGGAGAAAAGCCUGAAAUAACUCGCAGCUCUACACUACAAUGAGAAUGCAGGACGAAGACAAUGCAGGACGGAGACAUGCUAGCCAGAACUAGAAAUGGAGACCUAAGAUUCUCAAUAGCACUUUAGAUACGCAAAGAAUGCAUGCACAAUGCACUUGUUCAUUGUCAG